GCCUGAGUGGCUCAGUGGGUUAAGCGUCUGCCUUCAGCUCAGAUCAUGAUCCCAGGGUCCUGGGAUCGAGCCCCACAUCAGGCU
rnacentral:tRNA from 1 species